rnacentral:rRNA from 1 species
UACGUAGGUGGCAAGCGUUGUCCGGAAUUACUGGGUGUAAAGGGUGCGUAGGCGGCUAUGCAAGUCAGGCGUGAAAUAUAUGGGCUUAACCCGUAGACUGCGUUUGAAACUGUGUAGCUUGAGUGAGGUAGAGGCAGGCGGAAUUCCCGGUGUAGCGGUGAAAUGCGUAGAGAUCGGGAGGAACACCAGUGGCGAAGGCGGCCUGCUGGGCCUUAACUGACGCUGAAGCACGAAAGCAUGGGUAGCAAAC